rnacentral:rRNA from 1 species
GACGAACGCUGGCGGCGUGCCUAACACAUGCAAGUCGAACGAAGCAUAGCAAUAUGCUUAGUGGCGGACGGGUGAGUAACGCGUGAACAAUCUGCCCUGUACAAAGGAAUAGCCUCGGGAAACCGGGAUUAAAACCGUAUGACACUUUAGUAUCGCAUGAUAAGAAAGUCAAAUCGAUUAGAGGUAUGGGAUGAGUUCGCGUCUGAUUAGCUGGUUGGCGGGGUAACGGCCCACCAAGGCGACGAUCAGUAGCCGGCCUGAGAGGGUGAACGGCCACACUGGAACUGAGACACGGUCCAGACUCCUACGGGAGGCAGCAGUGGGGAAUAUUGCACAAUGGAGGGAACUCUGAUGCAGCGACGCCGCGUGAGUGAAGAAGGUCUUCGGAUCGUAAAACUCUGUCCUUGGUGAAGAAAGGACGGUAGCCAAGGAGGAAGCCCCGGCUAACUACGUG